rnacentral:piRNA from 1 species
UGGCUUCAGAAAGAGGAAAGGUCCUGUC